CGUGGUGAACUGGAUGAUUUCUAGGGUGUGCUUAGUCAAGUCACACACAGAGAGCUGUGGUCUACAAGCUACAGCACGUCAUCCUGUCAGUCAGCCCAUGCCCUCACGCAGAGCUAUAUAAAUAGCAGGAGGCUAUCUUUGAGAGCUCAUACCACUUCUGCAUCCUCCUCCGUCUCUCUCUUCCUGCCACAAGGCUUCCAAAUUUCAAAACUGUCACUAAACAGUGUGACUCUCACUGCAAGAUCUGCACACUGCUUCAGCGGAGAGUGAAGGUCAAGAUACACUGAAGUGAUGAUCUUGACGUUUUGUGCCUCAUCGACAGCUGCAGGCCAAUCUCCAACAUGUUUGAGCAGUCUGUGUUUAUCUUUCUGAGCGCAGGCAGAGUGACACAGCUCAGUUCAUGACUCAGAUGGGUGGUUUUUUUUUCCAUGAUGAGCAAAAUCCAUGACUGCCUUGAUGUAUUAUUGUUUCAUGAAUAGAGUUUGUGAUAAGGAAAAAAACAACUUUUAAAAAGUGUACACACAAGAAGGCAGAAUGUAAUUUUGAUAUGAUAUUUCUUGUUUAUGUCAGUCUUUUCACUUAGAAUUUAAAGGUUCAGUUCACCCAAAAACAAACAAAACCAUAUUUUCUCUCUUACUUCUAGUUUUGGUUUUAUUUGUCCAGGUUUUGAAAUCAGUACCUUCUUAAAACCCAUUUUUAUAGACUCGCUUUUAAUAAUAUUAUUGCUUUUAUUCUCUCUCAGUUCUGUAUUCAUUUAUAUUUAAUUUAAUUUUUUAAUGGCUACCGCUUUUACUGUCCUUAUCUUACCAUACCCUACCAUGUUUGUUUUUUCUUCUUCUUGUUCUUUAUUUCUGUUCUGCCUGUUCUUUGGUUCUCUGUUGUUGUAUUGUCCUGUUCUUUCUUUGUCUAUUAAAGCACAUUGUAAACUCUG